rnacentral:lncRNA from 1 species
GAGAUCGUGUUGCAUAAAGGAAACCAACUCAAUCAUUUUUCCAUUGUUAGAGAUGUGUAACCUUCAAAAGAUCAACCUAUAUCAGAAAUCACUUGAUCUGUACAUUUGAUAGAUAAGAAAGAAAAUUACUUAUAAAAGAUAGAAAAAAAAGGAAAAUAUGACAAUUUUCCAGCAGUACGUAUUUUUUUACCCUUUGUAUUUUGUUUAUACAAUCAUAAAGUGAUUAUGAACCAUAGAUUUCUAUUAAAUAAUGUAAGCUAAAUUUUUCAAUUAAGUACAUCCUGAAUUAUAAAAAUCAAUCAAACAUGUAAUGAGUAACAAACCUUGACAUUAAUUAGUUUAGAAAGAUAUGUAUUGAACAUCAAAAUUAAUUAAAUAUAUAGUUAUAUCCUGAAGAACAUAAAAUGUCGUCUUUUAUAUUCUGAUAAUUAAACAAUUAACAUAAGUCAUAUAGAUUAAAAAAUGUGCUAAAAUACUAAUUAUAAGUAGAAAAUGAAAAGGAAAAAAAGAAAAAGAAUAAUUACAAGAAAAUGAAAAAGAAAAAAGAAAAAAGAAUAAUUACAAGAAAAUGAAAAUUAGACCGUAUGCUAUUAAGGAAACCAACUCAAUCAUUUAUCCAGUGUUACAUUAGCAUCCCCUUUAUUAUUGUUAUAUCCUCAUAAUCCUAACAACCAUCUCAAUCUCAUCAAAAAAAUACGGAAAACCCUAUCAUAAUCAUUGGUGACGCAAGAAUAA